rnacentral:misc_RNA from 1 species
UAUCAUCAGAAGCCCAUGCCCUCUGUGGCUGGCGCUCCUGGACUUGGAUGUGCUGCCGGGCAACCCUGCCCGGCUCGUCCGAAAUGCAUUAGCGAGGGAUGUAGGCGCUGCCGGCUCUCUUUGGCGUGAUAAGGUCACCCGUCGAGAGGCCCCCGGUGGUGAGGCCCACGAUCCUUUCGCUUCCAACCGUCCUCGUGGACAACAGCAGACUUUGGUCUGAC